UUCUUUUUGCCCAGAAGCGAAAAGAGUAUGCUCAGAACGACGGGUAAGAAAUCCCUAUAUUGCCGCACAUGUCGCUUCUUUCUUUGGGGUUUAAUUGUUGUUGUAGACAUAUUUUUUGAGGGCUUUUUGUAGACAUAAUUUUGUAUAUAUUUGAACAUGGACAUCAGAAGCUUGAGAGUUGGCAGAAAGAAAAUUCUACUACAUCCUUGUUUAUAGCAACUGUGUAAAAGACCAUAGCCUUUUCGAUUUGCUCUCCUUUCGUGAAAAUAAUGUUUCCAAUGACCCUGGUGUGCUUCAACUGUUAACCCGUGUUUUUAAAACUAGACGAUUCCCCGCGCGUUGCUGCGGGACAUAUUGCAUAAAUUUAGUGUUUUACUCAGUAAAUUAAUUCUCGUAAAAGAAUUAGAAAAACAAUGAACAAAUGUCUUUUAUUUGACAAAAAUAAUAUAUAGGCUACCAGCUCCGCUUCUUUUGCAAGGGAAGAAAACUUCGAAGCUGCAGCUAAAAGAUCACCACAAAGCUAUAGCGCACCGGCCUCACCUCGUGUAGACACUCAUGCACCGUCAACUUUGUCAUGUUCCUCACCGCCGCCGGGGAAGGUUUCUUCUUGGGUACUGGUGUUGGCGGUUAACAUGGUAGACGCUCUUGUUGCAUGUAUAGCAGUGGCGAUCAACAGGGCCGAGCUGGAGAAAAUCAACUCUGGUACAUAAUUUUAACAAUAGUGCAAACAUAUUUAGUUCAAUCCCUCUGACGGUAAGGUACUUCAAAAUUCUUUGCAUGUAAGAUUCAGAAAAACAAACGACACAUCACCAUAUGACAACAAAUGAGGGACGAUCAAGUUCUUCCUGAGUUAAUACACUCACAAUUAUUGAUGCCACUUGUAAGGAAAAGUUGACGGUAGUAGAAUAAUUCAUCCUACCUCUAAUCCUGCAUAGCACAUGCAAAGUAACCAGAUGUGACAUCAAAUUAUGAAGUGAAAAUAAUAAAUGUAACCUGGGAUUAAACCUUCUGCUAUUUUCUUCUCGAUGGUUACGGAAAUUCAAAAGUGCGAGGUUGGACUUCUUGUGAUGUUGCUUUUCGUUUGGGAAGAUGUGUCCAUUUGUGAUCAACGAUGUACCUGUAGUUGGCAGAGGGAUUCUCCACUUCACGAAAAGUUUGUGAAAGGAAUUAGGAAAAAAUGUAUGAAUAUAAACACCUUCAGAAAAACAACUUUUUAACUAAUCAUUAAUAUGAUUAGGUUGUGUUCUUUGUGAUGUCUUUUGACAAUGAUUGUGGGUGGAGCUGACCAGGUCGGCGCUGCACGGAUGCUUGACCGCUCUAGGAUUGAGUGCAGGCUGCAGCGUCCGUGCUUUGGCCAUGUGCUCUUACUGUCACCUAGGUUGUAGAGAGCUGAAGCAUCCACGCAAACAUGUGCCACUUUGUGAGAAAUCAGACGAAUUUUGUGGUUACGAACGUGCUAAUCUUGUACUACCAAUUAUAGCCUGACAAGCAUCCAGUUCUGCCACCGAGACCCUCAUUCUCAAAUUAGCCUAGCAAGCCUUCAGUCCCAUAGAGUCGAGACCUGCCUUGCCCAUCAGCGAUCAGACCUGCUGUCCACUAUCACAGCCUACGAGGUUGUGUUUUUCUUUCACAAUUUUACACCUGAUGCACUGUCAUUGGUACUACCUGCUGCUCACACUAUAGAGAUGGUAAUCCGUACAAAGAUUUUCUUCCGACCCUGAUGCCUGUGCAUCCCGGUAACUUCAGGUAGCUCCGCCUCCGGCGACCAAUCUGUUGUUGGUUGAUUUGUACCAAGCGAAUCAGCAAAGAUGUCAAUCGCUAAACUCACUAAUAGAAAUAGGACAAUUCAAAAAAUACUAACAGAAAUAGGGUAGAAGGUGAGCUUAAUUUUGAAUCCACGAGAGCAAAAGGAAAGGCCAAAUUGGCCUCCUACCAAUUUCCACACGGGCGAUGCAAGAAGAGGGCACCACGGAUGACAUAGCAUGGCUGCUCUCCCAUGAUCUGCAACUUCUCCGCGAUCGUAGGUCGAUGGCGCGGCGCGGUGCGCCGGUAGUUCGUGGUGACCUAACCUAGCGGCAAUGCGCAGGCGGGCGGCAGAAGGAGGUGGGGGCAGAGGCGCAGUGCACCGUGAUGCAGUCGAGGGCUUGAGCAGAGAAAGAUGGGAGAGAGAUAUGGAUGGAUGGAUCGGGAGAGGAGAGGAGAGGAGACAGGGAAUUAAGGGGUUAACCCAAUGGCCACAUGCGGCCCCUUGUGCGAUUUUAUGACUGGGAUUAAACCGCGCCCAUGGAAGAAGGAAACUGUUUAGACUGGCUCAUCCCUCGGUUAUGGAAACGGAAGAGAAUCACACAGAGAAAUCUGUUGAUUUUUUUCCUUGGUGUGGAGACGUGAAUUUCUGUCCCUGGGAGCCGGAUCCGAGGAAAGUGGAGCAAACGCUAUUCGGCUACCCCAGUACCCCGUGACUAAUCAGAAAGGACCACAUGAUUUUAAUUAUGGUAGCCUGGAGGAUUAUGAGUGCAGAAUAAAAAUAGCAUGCAUGCAAAAUCAAAAGGAUUAGCAAAUGGAGGGUCAGUGCUGAUGUGUCCAUAGAAGCAUGGUUGCUGAUGUGGAUAGGCUGCAUGCUUAGUUAAAUAGGUUAGUGGGGAUGAACUAUUAUAGUAUUAUAGAUAAUACAGCAUCAUUGUAAAGUACUUGUGUAAAAAAUUCACUCCAUAGAGAUUGCCCACUUUCAUGCAUGAAGUAUUCGAAAGUGAUCAUGAUAAAUUGAUAAGGGGAAAAUAUAAGAAGAUUGGUGUUGUGGUGAAAAUAGUAAUGCUGUGCGAGUACUGGUUGUUUACAAGGCAGUUUAAUUGUAUUAGACCUUCUACAUUUGCACUACCUUUGUUUUAACAAUAUAUGAAUAUAGCAUUUGAUGCUCUUUUUAACCCAGUUACCACAAACAUACGUUCAAGUUAUCACAAGAAUAAAUACAUAACAAUUACAUGGUUGUUUGACCAUGUAAAAUGCACAUUGGCAAAGAAUAGUGGAUGAUAAAUCGUCAGAAAUUGCUCUUGGCCAAGUAAAUCACAUUAACAUUCAAGCCUUUUGCACUGGCAUUUUUUUCUCUCCCAUCUUAUCUAGAUGCAGUACCUGCAAGGCCGGCUGCAACCACAUCAGCUUGCUCCUUGAGCCGGCUUGACAAGGGUGUUCUUAACUCUGGAAUAUGUUCACCUGCCAUGCAUGAGCAUAGCAUCUGCAUCUGCAUGGAUGUCCAUGAUCUUUUCCCUCCUGUACUUCUUGCUCUUAGCUCUGUGGUUUCUUCCUGCGUCCUCUUUAUUUUCUGCCUUUUUCCUUUCUCUCUGGUUCAUUGUUCAGACUAGUUUGCUGAUCCGGGUUUGCAUGGCUCAGGCUAAGCCAAAUGCCCUUUCGAGGACCGAUGGCUGGUAGCAUGUUACAAGUCUGGAAUGUGUUGUUUUACCACGAAUGGAUUGGCACCGCAUGCAUCUGCAUCUUCAUCUUGAUUAGUCUGAACAAUGAGCAGGCAAAGCAGAUGGACGGCAGAUAUCUGCGCCUUUGACCUAUGUCUAUGUAAGAUAUUGCUACAUGGACCGGAGGACGACAUAAAUCAUAUAUAUGCUCUAAUAGGCAUUUUAUGUAGGAAAACAUAGAAUGUAGCAGAUGUUGCCAACUCCAAUCACAUGCACUCUGGAACAGGGACAGGCCCUACAAAACAGAUAUUCUGAUAUUUCCACAGUGCAAAAAGAUCUCACACCAUAAAACAACAAUGAGAACACCUGCUAGGCUGCUAGCUGCUAAGCACCCCCCAAAAAAAUCAAAUCGCUGUGAAGCGACAAAUUGGCUGCAUCAGAGAAAGAGAAGUAACUGGCUAAGCAGAGCCCAGCCCUGAAAUGAUGAAUCUUCGAGCGUUCUUCUUCAUCAACAACACCUCUGGUUCGGGCACCGACACGGUCUCCCCUCUCCAGACAUAUAUCCAUAAUACCACUUUUCUUCUACAUAUAUUGUGAGUUGUCAGCAUCGCGCGCAUCCUACGGGAACGAGUGAAGAGGGAAAAUAUACGGCAAGAGGCAGUGAAACCGAGAGGUACACUCACUUGCACUUUGCACGGCCCUUUGUCUCGACCCAUCGUGUGCGGCGUGCAUUAUCCUGGAGCAAAUGGUGGAUGGUCGAUGAGCCCAAGCGUCCCCAUUCCUCACCAUCCAUCUAGAGAGAGAUUGUGUAUGUGUGUGUGAGGGAGAUAGAGACAGAGUGAGAGAGGGACUGCACAAGGUGACAGAAUUGGGAGAUCGGGAGAGAUGAUAAGAUGGCUGCAGGGGCAGGCCAUGGGCUUGCCGAUGACGGUGACAGAGGAAACAUUUCGACUGUUCAAUAUAUCUACUCUGGUGUCUCAACGUUUCGCACUGCUGCUUUUGCUCGUUUGGUUGAUGUGGUUUGCAGGAUACCACCACAUCAGUAGAUCUCCUGUAGGGUUUUUUGGGUGCUUCUUUGACAGCAAUUUGAAUAUAUUGUUCUACACGGGUCCAUCAAGAGAUAUGUUGGGCUAUCUAGGGAUGGCAACCGGAGGGCUAUUUUCAGUGUGGGCUCUUGUUUGCUCCCGUCCGGAAAUGAAUAUUUCUUGUUUAAGUCUUGGUAUUUUGUUCAGCUAUCAAGAAACAUUCUGUCACACAACUCUUUCUCGGUCGGAAGUCUUCGCCGUACAGGGCUCCAAAGAGAGCGGGUUUUCACCACAACGAUCCCAGUGGGGGCCUAACGAGUGUCUAAAUGUUAGUGGUGCCGAGUUUAUCUCGUAGGUUGAUGCUACGAGAUCGGUCCACUGCCUACUUCGACAUAAGCGUAGUAUCGGUCCUAUAUUACUUCACUGCUGUUGAUAUGUUUUUUUAUUUUUUUAUUUUGUCAGACUGUUGGUUUUUGGCCUUGUGCAUCUUAGCCAUGCAGAGGUCGGGUGCUGCUCAUCAUGCUUUGUAUUCGCUUGAUGCUAUAUUUUGAGUUAAUAAAAGUGUCCUUUAUCAAAAAAAAAUCCUGUAGGUUGAUGCAGUACUGUCAAAACAAGUACUCGCUCGUACAAAGUUGCACUAAAUCAACAACACUUAUUUUAGAAUAGAGGAAGUACACUCGUUGCCCCAAAAAAAGAAAAAGAAAACUUGUUGUGAUCCAGGCUGGAAAGGGAGGCUGAUGCCCAUCGCGGGCAGGUGCGUGCUAGUUCGAUGUGUACUCUCAGCCAUGCCCACUUUUGCCAUCACAGUACUGCGGGCACCGAAGAAGUUCUGUAAGGAAGUUGACAAGGCCAAGAGGCGGUUCCUUUUGGCGCAAGACGAGGAGGUCACCGGUGGAAAGUGCAAGGUUGGCUGGCAGGCGGUCACCGCGCCGGAGCGCGCCGGGGGUCUGGGCAUCCAUGACCUGCCAAAGUUCGCUCGAGCCCUGCGGCUCCGAUGGCUCUGGCUUGCCUGGACGGAGCCAACCCGCCCUUGGGUCGGCACAAGCACCCCUUGCGACGCUACCGAUCGUGCCCUGUUCGCUGCUUGCACGGCGGUCACCAUCGGCGACGGCGCAACGGCGUCCUUCUGGUCCUCCUCGUGGCUUGGCGGUAGGCAGGUAUGUCUGGCAUACCCGACGGUGUUCGCCCAAUCCAUCCGCAAAAACAUAUCAGUCCGGGAGGCUCUGCACCAGGACAGAUGGAUCCUGGAUCUCCGUCAUGGUGACCAUGAAAACAUCAUGCACCUGGUGCUGCAACUUGCUAGGGAGAUGAGAAGCGCCGGAAUCAUUCUUGAAGAGGGGAGGGCAGACAAAAUCAGAUGGACCCUGUGCAGCUCUGGCAAGUACACCGCGCGCUUUGCCUACGAAGCUCAGUUUGAAGACUGCCCGACGCUCAAUUUCAAAACAUCCAUCUGGAAGGUCUGGGCUCCGGGCAAGAUGAAAAUGCUUCUAUGGCUGCUGCAUUUGGAUAGGCUUUGGUGUAAUGACAGACUCCAGAGAUGCGGCUAGGACAACAACUACUUCUGUCAGUUGUGUGUACGGAACCUUGAGACCUCGUCACACCUCUUCUGGGAGUGCACAUUCGCCAUUCAGGUUUGGAACAAAGUGGCAACCUGGGUUGGCUGCAACGCACUGGCACACAUCAACUGGAGCACAGGCUAAACAACGACCGAGCGCGUCCACAUGAUCAUCGAUGGAGCAGCCCCAGGUUCAAGGAAGGGAAUCCGAUCGAUACUCUCCUUGGUUGUCUGGCACAUUUGGCUAGAGCGCGACGCGAGCACCUUCAGGGGGAAGAUCCCAAGCGUGAACAACAUCAUUGAAGCCUGCCGCCGGGACAUUGAGCAAUGGAGGAUUGUCGGAGCCAAAUGCAUCCAGCACCCCUUCGGGGACGUGCCAUGAAAUAUCGCGAUAAUGUUGAUUCGCUAGCUUAGGAGCCCGCUAAUAUGGCAGUGUAUUUUUCUCUUACAAUCCAUUGAUCGCUUGAUCAGCCACUGUUUUUCCGCUCUCUCCUGGUUAUGAAAUGAAAGCCAGAAAAUGGCCACUUAAAAAAACAAAAAACAAAAACAUGGUCCUGAGAUUCAGGUAAAACCCAUGUGAAGUGUAACACAAGGAGAUAUAGCCGAGUAGAGGUUUUAGUACAUUGCAUAUUGUGUGCAGCGCGUGUAGCACAGGGGUCUAGGUUGCAGGUACACAACCUCUCGGUAGCCGGGCUACAGUUUUUUUUUCAAAACGGAGGCAAAAGAUUUGCCUCAUUCAUUAUAUAAGAGAGAAGUGUUUUAGAGUGUUACAAAUGAUCCGUAUGCCCGGCAUGGCAACUACUCGCGCACAAGAAUACACCCCAGUUUUUUUGCUCCCGCGAGAACCCAAAGCUUGACGUCGUUGAUGAUAGCAUGGAGAAGGACCGGAGGCGGUGCGCUCUUGUGUCGGAAGACCCGAGCAUUACGCUCGUUCCAGAUCGUCCAAGAGACUAGCAUUGUAAGUGAGGCCAAGGCUCGUCGGUUUGGGUUUUGCAAGCAGGUUCGCUUUUCCCACCAUUCCAAAACGGAUCCAUCCAAAUGCCAAGAGGAGGUGUCCAUGUGCGCUAGACCAAAUUCAAGGAUGACCGAGUUCCAUAGCCUUAUGGUGUAGCGGCAUUUGUAGAAGAGGUGUGCACCCGUCUCGCCAACACGUUUGCAAAGCGGGCAAAGUCCACAGUUUUGCCAACCGCGCCGCUCCAAUCUGUCGGCUGUCCAAAUCCGGUCUUGGAUAGCCAACCAAGCAAAAAACUUGAUCUUAGGAGGGGCCCAAGCCUUCCAGAUCAUAAAGUCCAUGGGCGAAAGUGUCAGUCCAAGAAACUGAGCCUUGUAGGCGGUGGCCGCGGAGUAGGACCCGUCGUUGGCGUGUUUCCAAAUAAUGUCAUCGUCAGUUUGUUGAUCCAAGUGUAGGUCAUGCACAAGCAUCCAUAACGUGAAGAAUUGGAGGAUGUGGGCACCGGAGACGAUGGUGUUGCGACCGAUCUUAAGAAUCCAAGCAUCUCCAUGGAGGGCCUCACGCACCUUCCAGUUCUUGCGUGAGGCCUCAUAAAUCAAAGGGGCAAUGUCCUUCGGUUUCUGCCCAAGAAGCCAUGGGGAAUCCCAAAAAGGUGUUUUGGCACCGUUGCCCAAAAUGAUGGUCGUUGAGGCAUAGAAGAAGUCCAUGUCCUCCUCCGUGCAAGGGUUCCCAAGCCCCACCCAAAGCUUGUUUGGCUCUUUCCAUUCAUACCAUGGCCACCUAAGACGUAAGGCCCAAGCAAACUUGUCAGUGUCUAGAACCCCAAGGCCUCCAUACUCCUUGGGGCGGCAAACCACCUUCCAAUUCACUUUACAUUUGGCACCGGUCGUCUUAUCUGAUCCAGACCAAAGGAAAGCCCUCUCCAAUUUGUUGAUGUUGUGAAGAGAGCGUGGUGGCACGAUGAGAGGUGUGAUGAAAUACACUGCUUGGGAGGCAAUAACCGAUCUGACAAGUGUCGUGCGCCCGAUGGUGGUGAUGUUUUGGCCGUCCCAGGUGGCAAGCUUGCCGGCCGCCUUGUCUUCAAGGUAUUGGAAAUCCACAGUCUUGAGCUGCCAGACCGAGAGUGGGAGUCCCAGAUAUUUCAUCGGGAAGGUGGCUCUAGACACGGGAACGGCACUGAGCACAUGAUCCAAGUCAACAUUGGCACAUCUGAUUGGCACAACCGAACUCUUGUGGAAGUUGGUGCAUAGACCCGUGACAUCACCGAAACCCUUCAAGAUGGUGGCGAGGUUGUCGACGUCGCUUUUGAUUGGGGCCAUGAAAAUAGCUGCGUCAUCCGCAUAUAAGGAGGUUCUCAUCAUAGCGCCUCGUCCCCGAAUCUUAUGCAGGAGGCCCUUCCUAGUUGCCAACUCAAGAAUUUGGUGAAGCGGGUCAAUUGCAAGGACGAAUAGCAGCGGCGAGAUCGGGUCCCCUUGACGAAAUCCACGACCAUGAUAGAUGGGAGGUCCGGGCAGCCCAUUGAGCAGGAAACGCGAGGAUGAGGAGCAAAGCAGUGCGGCAAUCCAGUCACGGAAUUUGCUAGGGAAACCCCUACGUUGCAGGAGGUCCAGGAUGAAUUCCCAUUUGACAGAGUCGAAGGCUUUUCUUAUGUCAAGCUUGAACAGAAGGGCAGGGGUCUUGCGCUUGUGGAGGCGUCGAGCAAAGUUCCGCACAUACAUGAAGUUGUCAUGGAUACUUCUCUUUUUUAUGAAGGCGCUUUGGGCGUUGGAGAUGAGGGCAUCCAUAUGCGGGGCAAGCCGCAAGGAGAGCACCUUAGCAAUGAUUUUGGCAAUGGCAUGGAUGAGGCUUAUAGGCCUAUAAUCGGAGAUGCCCUCCGCGCCAUCCUUCUUGGGCAAGAGCACCACAUUGGCGGAGUUCAACCAUUGAAGAUUGGACAUGUGAAGGGAGUCAAACCGGUGGAUGACUCGCAUGAUAUCAGGUUUGACGAUGGCCCAACAUUUCUUGAAAAAGAUACCCGUGAAGCCGUCUGGGCCGGGAGCCUUGCCGCUUGGCAUUUCUUUAAUGGCGUUCCAAACCUCCUCCUCAGUGAUAGUGUCAUCCAGGGUGUGAAGGUCGACCGGCUGCACGUUGAGCUCCUCCCAAUUGAAGUCAAGGUUGCUCGUGUGCCCCUUCCCCAUGACCUCAGAGAAGUGGUCAUGGAUGAUCUUUUCUUUUUCGCCAUUGUCAGUAACCCAACCGCUUGCGAGCUUGAUGCGGUGGAUGUGAUUCUUUCUUCUUCGGGCAUUGACGCGGCGGUGGAAGAACUUUGUGUUUGCAUCACCCUCCUUGAGGUUAGAGAUUAGGGCGCAUUGGCUCUUUCUGGCCCUCUGCAGAACUGCCAAACUGAUCACCCUGCGUUUUAGUCUAGCACGUAGGUCAAGCUCCUCCGGCGAUAGGGGGCGCGAUUCCUGCGCAAUGUCCAACCUUAGGAUCACGAGUAGUGCCGCGUGGAAGUGAAUGUUCGCUGCUGAGAAGAGUCUUCUACUCCACUCCUUGAGACGUAGCGCGGUCUUCUUGAGCUUGUGAUGCAAUAUGAGAUAAGGCUCCGUGUGUGACACGCCCUCGGCCCAUACCUUUUGGACAAUGUCAUGGAAUCCUGGAAGGGUGGUCCAGAAAUUUUCAAACUUGAAAGACCGAGGUCUUUUGGGUCCUUUGUCAUCAGCAAGCAAGAGAGGGCAGUGGUCGGAGAGGGAUGACGACAAGGCAUGCAACACAUGGGUGUUGAAGGUGGUGUCCCACUCGGCGUUGCAGAAGAAGGAGUCAAGUUUGCAAAGGGUGGGAUUUGUCCUCUCAUUGCUCCAGGUGAAACGCCUGUUCUGUAGAUGGAUCUCCUUGAGCUCGCAAGAUUGCAAAGCGGCACGAAAGCGAUUGAUUCUGCUACGGUUAACAUUCCGUUUGUUUUUAUCCCUGGCAUGGUAGAUUUGGUUGAAGUCUCCAGUGGCAAGCCAUGCCACUCCCGGAGGUGGCUUCUGGCUAAGCAGCUCCGCAAAGAAUGCAUCUUUGGAGGCGCUGUCGGUGGGGCCAUAGACGGACGUGAUUUUGAAGGAUGAGUCGGAAGCGCGAAUCCGCACCAUAGCAGAGAGACAAAAAGUCGAGGUGGUGAUGUCGGAGACAUGAAGGAGGCUGUCAUCCCAUAGCAUAAGGAUUCCGCCCCUGGUUCCGGUGGCCGGGCGGUGCGCGAAACUCUGAAGCUUGUUUCCACCGAGAGAAGCAGCAAUGUAUCUGCCAACGGUGCUCAACUUAGUCUCCUGGAGAAAGACCAAAUGACAAGUGGUGUCCGAUAUGGUAGCCUUGACAGUUGCUCUACGGUCUGGGCAAUUAAGCCCUCUCACAUUCCAGCUGAGUGUAUUGAUAGGCUGUUCUGUCAUGGGUGCACAGCAGAUGCCCUUUGACUAACAUAUGGAAUAACAAUAAUACAACCAGGAGGGGAUCCAAGUCCCAGGUACAUGGCCCAUGGCCGAACCUGACUAAACACCAACACACACACAAUGGGAACACGGUCCCAUCUACAAGACCCAAAGUAACUAGUGCCUAUGCACGAACUGGAUACGUGCAAACUAGUAGCAAGUGCAAUCCCCUGGAAAGCAUCAGGAUGGCGUACUAACAUAACAAACAUGAAGGCCCUAACCCAGAGACUACCUACUCAGGCGAUCGCCGGCUGCGAUCCCUGGCCAUCUUGUUCCAGCCCCACAGAGUCCAUAGCCGCUGCACCACCAUGGUCUAUCAGCGUGUCCUCGACAGCAGCAAUAGCACUAUCGUCAAGCUUGAAGAAAUCCCGCAUGGCCACAAUCACUUCAGGGGGGAGCUGCUCCUUGAAUCUCUCCGUGAACGCAUUCAGGGUCGAAGCGGUGACAUCUUCACCAUCUUUGGUUAUGCCCAGGCUGCGACAGACAAGGCGCUCAGCCACCUUUGCAACCGGGGCAGCCGGCGUGCGGUUGGAAGGGCGCCUGAUCCGUUGCAGAGAGAUCCCGCCUUCCUUGGAGAUCCUCAUGCCUGCCAAAGUCUUCCGACGGGCUGCUGGAGGGCUUGGCCUCGGUGAUGCCAUGGGUGCUUCAGAAGGUUGCACAGAUGUGAGCGGCAGGAGUGCCGGCUGUUUUGAGCAGAAGAGUGUUGCUGGAAGCUCGAGACAGGGCACAACGAGCUCCGCCAAGCCAGCGGGCAGGUCGUGUCCAGCAUCAACAAGGCGAGCACGGGUUGGCGAAGGGGUUCGCUGCAGGUUGCCGUUGCACUGGAGAGGCGGAGUGGGCGAGGCUUCAAAGCCUGGGGGCCGCAUCGGGGACAUGUCCAGAAGAGGUCGCUGCAUCAUGGUCGGCGAACAAAGCUCGAUGAGCGCCGGACUCAGGUUUUGGGAGGCCACCGCAGCAGCAUGAGCUUCGUCACGCUUGGAGGCCGGCGGGGUUCGGAGCACCGUUGUAGGAGAAAGGGGUGGUGAAGCCGAUAUGCGCCUGGCAGAGGUCGGCCGCUGCUGCCUGACCGGGCUACGGCCCCGAGCGCCGACAGCAUCCGAAGCAGGCUCAAGCUCCCCAACACGCCUGGGAGGAGCGCACAGGGAGCCAGAGCCGAGAGGCACCGGAACAGCGCCCUGGACAGCGGGCAGCCCAGAGUUGCCGCGGCGGCGAUCAUCGCAGCUCCCCUGACGCCCAUCCCAGCGUUCUCUGCCGGUGUCGCGCUGCGCAUCACGCGGAGCACGGGAGAGGCUCCAGCGGAUGCGGUCGCCCCAGCCUUGCCCGCCUCUGGACGUGCCCCGGCCGUCGCGCCCCCGGCCACGGUCCCCUUCGUCGUCCCGGUCCCUGCGGUCUUGGCGGUCCCGCAGAAUAGGACGAGAGAUGCGCUCGCGCCUGUCACGCGGCAUCGUCUCCCCAUCCACGAUGUUUGAUUUCCAGGGGUUAGGCCUGGACAUCACUUUGCCGGAGGAUGGAUCUUCAUGGAUGUCGAGGUGGACCAGGACACGAUGCUCCAGCCCCUUGCGCCCGUACACCGGGGCGCCACCGUUGCGGGCGGGGAAAGUGACCCAGCUCACCCUUGGCACCCUGCUUGGGCAUGGCGUCCACGCCCACAAAGCGAGCACAUCGGUCACCGACUUGAUCUUGGAUGCCGGCUCGAUGUAGUCCAGCGAGCAGCUGGAGCCGACGGCCUUGGCAACCGCCUCCUCGUCCCAAGCGUACAGCGGCAGCCCCUCGAGGCAGAGGCGCACGUGGUGGCGGAGGUCGACAUGCUUAGCAUGGGCUUCCAGGCGCCAGGCUCGCAUCUGAAGCUUGGUGUCGCCGAACGGGAGCUCCCGGCGGGAUGUGGCGAUGUCAGCGUGAUGCUUGUGGAUGAAACGCACCAGGAACCGCUCGGGGAAGUGGGAGACGACGAUGACAUCCGGCACCAAGGCGCCAACCUCGUCCGCAAUGACCGCAACAACCUCGUUGGUGGAGGCACGGCGGUCGCGGUCGAACCAGGCCACCACCCCGUUGGAUUCCAGGAGCGCCGCCUCCAUGUGCAUGGCCGGGGUGUUGUGGAUGAAGGCGAACACCUCCGGGCGGGCGUUGUGGUCACCAGCCCAGGCCGAAGAUGCAGCGGAGGGGGAAGCCAUGACAGCUUGGGGAGGCACGGGCGUGGCGCCGGCAGGCGGACACGAGCAGGCGCGGGAGGAGGAGCUCGACGCAGAGCGGGCGAGGGAGCACCGGGGCGCAGGUGCGGGCGCGGAGCGUGGGUGCAGCCACGCGCUAUGUGGCCGGAGCGGAAGCACCGUCUGCAGGUGACAGGGUCGCGGCAAUCCACGGCGCGAUGUCGAGGCUUGAGACAGUGGAAGUAGAGGCCUUUUAUCCAGGCGGGAGGAGGGGCGCGGGGAGUGAAGGCAGCAACAGGGGCCGGCGCAGGGCGCGGCCGCCCAUGCCUGACCUCGAUCCAUGGCGUCGUCACAUCAUCCUCGAGCCCCGCAGUCGCCGCACCGCGCGGGAGUGAUUGCUCAGCUGCGGCCUGCGCAGGGGCGGGCCGAAAGCACGCAAGCCAUCCCGAACGGUCUCCGCCAAUAACACCAUCAAUGCACGACGGGUUGGCGGAACGGCCUGAAGCAGGAGCAUUGGAGACGGUGGUUGGGAGCGCGCGGGGAAGGAGCUCGGGCGGGGUCUCCAGGACGCAGUUCACCUCAAAGUCCACGCCGGAAGGGCGACCAGGAGGCGGAGGCGGAGGAGUGCCCCAAUCUGGAUCUGGAUCAGAUUCCCGCGAAGCCGGCCGCGGAGAGCGCUGCGGGUCAGGGAAGCCCCAGGGAAGCGGCUGGGACGGACGGGCAGGGCAGGCCAGGUAGGAGAGCGGCUGGGGCUGUGCGGUGGCCGGCGGCGCUGGAGUGAAUGCCGCCGGUAUGGGCCAGUGGGCGAUGGGUUGGGGCGGGUCGGGAGCGGACAUGAUGCUACUACGUCACAACUUUAGCAACUGAUCCAAAUUUGCAUGUUUCAUGCAGUGCUGGGCUACAGUUAGGGUGUGCAGAACUAGCGCAUGAACAACAACAGCGGUGGCGCACCGUUAGGUGAGUGCAGAGACGAGCUGUCGAUAUGUCGGCAGCGGUGCUGUGCCACCGACUGAUACCACUAUUCACGGUCUGAUCACUGCGACAUACGAUACGAACCGAGAUUGCAGAGUGCAUGCGCAGCAGGAGGAACAUCUUCGUGUCCGAAGUUGUUGGCCAGAAAAAAAGGAUACGUACAGUAGCCCAGCCCUGCACUGGCGCCCCUGCCGUUUCCUGAAUUCAGACUUACAGGAAUGCGUUCUUCUUCUUGUGCAGCCUGCAGGGAAGGAAUGCGUCCAGCUCUUGCUCCAGCGUGCUGCGUCUCGCGCGGUGAUCACCAAGGAGAUCAUAAUGAACUUGGAUUGCCCCAUGAAUUUGUCCCCUCUGAGGCUCUGACCGGCGAGAUGGUGACAGUGUUUUGAAAGAGAGACGCACCGUACUUACUCUCUCUGUUUGUUUUUAGUCUGCAUAUAAGAUUUGGUCAAAAUUAAACUUUGUAAAGUUUGAAAAAAUAUUAACAUCUGCAAUAUUAAAGCUAUAUGGUACGAAAAUUAAUUUCAUGAUGCAUCUAAUAAUAUUGAUUUCAUAUUGUGAAUUUUGAUAUUUUUUCUAUAAACUUAGUCAAAGUUGACAAAGUUUGAUUUUGAUCAAAUCUUAUAUGCAAACUAAAAAAACGGAGGAAGUACCUGCGGCAAAUUUACAUACAUCUUUACACAUUCACCGCUCGAACAGGGCCAUCUCGCGUGAAACGUCGUCCGUGUUCCAAACACGUACGCCGUCCUUUUUCCAGCUUCCAAGCUUUGCGUGGCAAGCCGUUCAGUCCUGUUGCUGCAUGCGCCGGCCUGCCACAGCGAGUCGUCACGUACGUACGUAGUACGUGUGGACUGUGGACCGACUGUGCUGGUGCUGAUGCCGCCGUGCGGGCGCGCGCGCGACGGCAGAUCCGUUGCUGCUUUCUGCUCUGCCGUUUCUCGAUCGGCUCAGAAAUGGGACCUUCUGUUCGGAGGCGGGCGGGCGAGUCGAUCGGCGUGACGCGCGCAAUGCUGGCCUGCACGUACACCCCAGUUACGUACUGUACGUGGUGGAAGUUGUACUUGAGUUACCCGUGUGCCGUGCAUGUGCACUUCUGCACUCUCUCAGCUCUAGAUCCAGCGUCGGCGUGGAGCUUGAGAUGUAGUUUAGGAGCGGAUGCAGAUUGUGGUCUGCAUCGACGACAUUUGAAAGACGAAACGUGUGCUGAGGUCGUAGUUCGUGGAUGGCAGAUAUGGUUUCCUCCUUCGGCGUCUUGGUCGUGGUGGAAGUAGUACUGCCUGUACUUGAGUUACCCGUGUGCUGUGCAUCUUCUGCAUUCUCUCGCUCAAGAGUUAGGUCUAAGGGCAUCCCCAACGCUCACCCUUAAACUAUCCAACACAGAUCUGUAUUGGUUCGCCAAGCGGUUCGAACAUACUUUCCGGCAAACACGAGACAAACAUGAGGGCUUUGGGGAAGUCCGGCAACAGCCACGUAGGCCUCCGACACCCCGGCCCACCCAUAACUUUUCCCAGACCCUGCACCUCCAUCCUCCCCAUUUUCUCUUCUUCUUUCUCUCUUGCCUUCGCCGCCGCUCCAUCAUCCCGGUCGGCACGCCACACCCCUGCCGGAACUCUACGUCUUCGUCACCUCUAGCGUUUCAGUCGGGCCCCACCCCGCUUCUCCUCCGUCGCCAUUCAACCCCUCUCCUCCGACCGCCUCGCCAGGUACCAUCCGCUACUGCUUUACUCACCAUACCCGACAACUAUUCGAUGAAUUGCCGGGGCUAAAAAAGUUGUCCCUUCUUCUUUCAAGCAAUGGAUUCCGAUUUGGAGCACAUAUACGAGCACUAUGUUGAGUCGUCCGACGGCUUGUCCGACGAGGAGGACUACAUGGACGAGACAGAGAUGAUGCAGGCGGUCCAUGAAGACGCGGAGCGUGCGGAGGAGCAUGUUCUCAAUUUCAAGGGAUCGGUGAAGGGCCAUCGAGUGCUCAACCGCAACAUGGCACGCGGCCAUUUGAUACUGAUGGACGACUACUUUUACCCCGAUGCACUCUUCGCUGACCAUUUUUGUGAAGGAAAUAUGCCCUAGAGGCAAUAAUAAAGUUAUUAUUUAUUUCCUUAUUUCAUGAUAAAUGUUUAUUAUUCAUGCUAGAAUUGUAUUAACCGAAAACUUAGUACAUGUGUGAAUACAUAGACAAACAGAUAUCACUAGUAUGCCUCUACUUGACUAGCUCCUUGAAUCAAAGAUGGUUAAGUUUCCUGGCCAUGGACAUGAGUUGUCAUUUGAUUAACGGGAUCACAUCAUUAGAGAAUGAUGUGAUUGACUUGACCCAUUCCAUUAGCUUAGCACUUGUUCAUUUAGUAUGUUGCUAUUGCUUUCUUCAUGACUUGUACAUGUUCCUGUGACUAUGAGAUUAUGCAACUCCCGGAUACCGGAGGAACACCUUGUGUGCUAUCAAACGUCACAACAUAACUGGGUGAAUAUAAAGAUGCUCUACAGGUGUCUCCGAAAGUGUUUGUUGGGUUGGCAUAGAUCGAGAUUAGGAUUUGUCACUCCGAUUGUCGGAGAGGUAUCUCUGGGCCCUCUCGGUAAUACACAUCACUAUAAGCCUUGCAAGCAAUGUGACUAAUGAGUUAGUUGCGGGAUGAUGCAUUACGAAACGAGUAAAGAGACUUGCCGGUAACGAGAUUGAACUAGGUAUUGAGAUACCGACGAUCGAAUCUCGGGCAAGUAACAUACUGAUGAUAAAGGGAACAACGUAUGUUGUUAUGCGAUUUGACCGAUAAAGAUCUUCGUAGAAUAUGUAGGAGCCAAUAUGAGCAUCCAGGUUCCGCUAUUGGUUAUUGACCGGAGACGUGUCUCAGUCAUGUCUACAUAGUUCUCGAACCCGUAGGGUCCGCACGCUUAACGUUCGGUGACAAUCGGUAAUAUGAGUUUAUGUGUCUUGAUGUACCGAAGGUAGUUCGGAGUCCCAGAUAUGAUUAUGGACAUGACGAGGAGUCUUGAAAUGGUCGAGACGUAAAGAUCGAUAUAUUGGAUGACUAUGUUCCGACACCGGAAGUGUUUCGGGAGGUUUCGGGCAAAUACCGGAGUACCGGGGGUUACCGGAACCCCCCGGGGAGUAUAUUGGGCCUAAUGGGCCUUAGUGGAGAAGAGGAGGGGCCGCCAGGGCAGGCCGGGUGCCCCCUCCCCCUCUAGUCCGAAUUGGACAAGGAGGGGGGGGGGGGCGGCGCCCCCUUUCCUUCCCCUCUCUCUCCUCCUUCCCCCUUCUCCUACUCCCACUAGGAAAGGAGGAGUCCUACUCCCGACUCCCCCCUUGGCGUGCCCUCCUCCUUGGCCGGCCGCCUCCCCCCUAGCUCCUUUAUAUACGGGGGCAGGGGGCACCCUAGAACACACAAGUUGAUCAUUGAUCUCUCCCAUCCGUGUGCGGUGCCCCCCUCCACCAUAAUCCACCUCGGUUAUAUCGUAGCGGUGCUUAGGCGAAGCCCUGCGACGGUAGCUUCAUCAACAUCGUCACCACGCUAUCGUGCUGACAAAACUCUCCCUCGAGCUCUACUGGAUCGUGAGUUCGCGGGACGUCACCGAGCUGAACGUGUGCUGAACGCGGAGGUGCCGUACGUUCGGUACUGAGGAUCGGUCGAUCGUGAAGACGUACGACUACAUCAACCGCGUUGUCAUAACGUUUCCGCUUAACGGUCUACGAGGGUACGUGGACGACACUCUCCCCUCUCGUUGUUAUGCAUCACCAUGAUCUUGCGUGUGCGUAGGAUUUUUUUGAAAUUACUACGUUCCUCAAAAGUGACAUCCGAGCCAGGUUUAUGCGUAGAUGUUAUAUGCACGAGUAGAACACAAGUGAGUUGUGGGCGAUACUAGUUGUACUGCUUACCAACAUGUCAUAGUUUGAUUCGGCGGUAUUGUUGGAUGAAGCGGCCCAGACCGACAUUACGCGUACGCUUACGCGAGACUGGUUCUACCAAUGUGCUUCGCACACAGGUGGCUGGCGGGUGUCAGUUUCUCCAACUUUAGUUGAACCGAGUGUGGCUACGCCCGGUCCUUGAGAAGGUUAAAACAGCACUAACUUGACGAACUAUCGUUGUGGUUUUGAUGCGUAGGUAAGAACGGUUCUUGGUCAGCUCGUAGCAGCCACGUAAAACUUGCAACAACAAAGUAGAGGACGUCUAACUUGUUUUUGCAGGGCAUGUUGUGAUGUGAUAUGGUCAAGACAUGAUGCUAAAUUUUAUUGUAUGAGAUGAUCAUGUUUUGUAACAAAGUUAUCGGCAACUGGCAGGAGCCAUAUGGUUGUCGCUUUAUUGUAUGCAAUGCAAUUGCCCUGUAAUUGCUUUACCUUAUCACUAAGCCGUAGUGAUAGUCGUAGAAGCAAUAGUUGGCGAGACGACAACGAUGCUAUGAUGGAGAUCAAGGUGUCGCGCCGGUGACGAUGGUGAUCAUGACGGUGCUUUGGAGAUGGAGAUCACAGGCACAAGAUGAUGAUGGCCAUAUCAUAUCACUUAUAUUGAUUGCAUGUGAUGUUUAUCUUUUAUGCAUCUUAUUUUGCUUAGAUCGACGGUAGCAUUAUAAGAUGAUCUCUCACUAAAUUUCAAGGUAUAAGUGUUCUCCCUGAGUAUGCACUGUUGCGAAAGUUCUUCGUGCCGAGACACCACAUGAUGAUCGGGUGUGAUGAGCUCUAUGUUCACAUACAACGGGUGUAAGCCAGUUUUACACACGCAGAAUACUCGGGUUAAACUUGACGAGCCUAGCAUAUGCAGAUAUGGCCUCGGAACACCGAGACCGAAAGGUCGAGCGUGAAUCAUAUAGUAGAUAUGAUUGAAGGAAAUAUGCCUAGAGGCAAUAAUAAAGUUAUUAUUUAUUUUCUUAUAUCAUGAUAAAUGUUUAUUAUUCAUGCUAGAAUUAUAUUAACCGGAAACAUAAUACAUGUGUGAAUACAUAGACAAACAGAGUGUCACUAGUAUCCCUCUACUUGACUAGCUCGUUGAUCAAAGAUGGUUAAGUUUCCUAGCCAUUGACAUGGGUUGUCAUUUGAUUAACGGGAUCACAUCAUUAGGUGAAUGAUGUGAUUGACUUGACCCAUUCCGUUAGCUUAGCACUCAAUCGUUUAGUAUGUUGCUAUUGCUUUCUUCAUGACUUAUACAUGUUCCUAUGACUAUGGGAUUAUGCAACUCCCGUUUACCGGAGGAACACUUUGUGUGCUACCAAACGUCACAACGUAACUGGGUGAUUAUAAAGGUGCUCUACAGGUGUCUCAGAAGGUACUUGUUGGGUUGGCGUAUUUCGAGAUUAGGAUUUGUCACUUCGAUUGUCGGAGAGGUAUCUUUAGGCCCACUCGGUAAUGCACAUCACUUAAGCCUUGCAAGCAUUGAAACUAAUGAGUUAGUUGCGGGAUGAUGUAUUACGGAACGAGUAAAGAGACUUGCCGGUAACGAGAUUGAACUAGGUAUUGAGAUACCGACGAUCGAAUCUCGGGCAAGUAACAUACCGAUGACAAAGGGAACAACGUAUGUUGUUAUGCGGUCUGACCGAUAAAGAUCUUCAUAGAAUAUGUGGGAGCCAAUAUGAGCAUCCAGGUUCCGCUAUUGGUUAUUGACCGGAGACGUGUCUCGGUCAUGUCUACAUAGUUCUCGAACCCGUAGGGUCCGCACGCUUAACGUUUCGAUGACGGUAAUAUUAUGAGUUUAUGUGUUUUGAUGUACCGAAGGUAGUUCGGAGUCCCGGAUGAGAUCGGGGACAUGACGAGGAGUCUCGAAAUGGUCGAGACGUAAAGAUCGAUAUAUUGGACGACUAUAUUCAGACAUCGGAAAGGUUCCGAGUGAUUCGGGUAUUUUUCGGAGUACCGGGGAGUUACGGGAAUACGGGAAAGAAGUAUUGGGCCUUAAUGGGCCUUAGUGGGAAGUAGAGGCAGCAACCAGGAGGUGGCGCGCGCCCCUCCCAAGCCCAGUCCAAAUUGGACAAGGGGUUUGGGGCGCGACCCCCCUCUCCCUUCCUUCUCCUCUUCCCCCCUUUCCCCCCUACUCCUAGUUGGACUAGGAAAGGAGGAAACCUACUCCCACUAGGAGUAGGAAUCCUACCCCCUUGGCACGCCCUCCUCCUAGGCCGGCCGCCUCCCCCCGUGCUCCUUUAUAUACGGGGGCAGGGGGGGACCCCAAAGACACAACAACUGAUCGUUUGAUCUUUUAGCCGUGUGCGGUGCCCCCCUCCACCAUAGUCCACCUCGAUAAUACUGUAGCGGUGCUUAGGCGAAGCCCCGCGUCAGUAGAACAUCAUCAUCGUCACCACGCCGUCGUGCUGACGAAACUCUCCCUCAACACUUGGCUGGAUCGGAGUUCGAGGGACGUCAUCGGGCUGAACGUGUGCUGAACUCGGAGGUGCCGUGCGUUCGGUACUUGAUCGGUCGGAUCGUGAAGACGUACGACUACAUCAACCGCGUUGUGCUAACGCUUCCGCUUUCGGUCUAUGAGGGUACGUGGACAACACUCUCCCCUCUCGUUGCUAUGCAUCACCAUGAUCUUGCGUGUGCGUAAUUUUUUUUUGAAAUUACUACGUUCCCCAACAAUGAUCAACAUAGUGAUGUUCACCAUUGAAAACUAAUCCAUCUCACGUGAUGAUCGGACAUGGUUUUGUUGAUAUGGAUCACGUGAUCACUUAGAUGAUUAGAGGGAUGUCUAUCUAAGUGGGAGUUCUUAAGUAAUAUGAUUAAUUGAACUUUAAUUUAUCAUGAACUUAGUCCUGGUAGUAUUAGCAUAUCUAUGUUGUAGAUCAAUAGCUCGCGUUUAGCUCCCCUGUUUUAUUUUUGAUAUGUUCCUAGAGAAAACUAAGUUGAAAGAUGUUAGUAGCAAUGAUGCAGAUUGGAUCCGUGAUCUGAGGAUUAUCCUCAUUGCUGCACAGAAGAAUUAUGUUCUUGAUGCACCGCUAGGUGACCGACCGAUUGCAGGAGCAGAUGCAGACGUUAUGAACGUUUGGCAAGCUCGAUAUGAUGACUACUUGAUAGUUUAGUGCACCAUGCUUUACGGCUUAGAAUUGGGGCUUCAAAGACGUUUUGAACGCCACGGAGCAUAUGAGAUGUUCCAAGAGUUGAAAUUAGUAUUUCAGACUCAUGCCCAUGUCAAAAGUUAUGAGACCUUUGACAAAUACUUUGCCUACAAGAUGGAGGAGAAUAGCUCAGCUAGUGAGCAUAUGCUCAGAAUGUCUGAGUACUACAAUCACUUAAAUCAAGUGGGAGUUAAUCUUCCAGAUAAGAUAGUGAUUGACAGAGUUCUCUAGUCACUAUCACCAAGUUACUAGAACUUCGUGAUGAACUAUAAUAUGCAAGGGAUAACGGAAACGAUUCCCAAGCUCUUCAUGAUGCUGAAAUCAACGAAGGUAGAAAUCAAGAAAAUCAUCAAGUGUUGAUGGUUGACAAGACCACUAGUUUCAAGAAAAGGGCAAAGGGAAGAAGGGGAACUUCAAAAAGAACGGCAAGCAAGUUGCUGCUCUUGUGAAGAAGCCCAAAGCUAGACCCAAGCCUGAAACUGAGUGCUUCUACUGCAAAAGAAAUGGUCACUGGAAGUGGAACUGCCCUAGAUACUUGGCGGAUAAGAAGGAUGGCAAAGUGAACAAAGUUAUAUUUGAUAUACAGACUAUUGAUGUGUAUUUUACUAGUGUUCAUAGCAACCCCUCGGUAUUUGAUACUGGUUCAGUUGCUAAGAGUAGUAACUCGAAACGGGAGUUGCAGAAUGAACAGAGACUAGUUAAGGGCGAGGUGACGAUGUGUGUUGGAAGUAGUUCCAAGAUUGAUAUGAUCAUCAUCACACACUCCCUAUACUUUCGGGAUUAGUGUUGAACCUAAAUAAGUGUUAUUUGGUGUUUGCGUUGAGCAUGAAUAUGAUUCGAUCAUGUUUAUUGCAAUACGGUUGUUCAUUUAAGUUAGAGAACAAUUGUUGUUCUGUUUACAUGAAUAAAACCUUCUAUGGUCAUACACCCAAUGAAGAUGGUUUGUUGGAUCUCGAUUGUAGUAAUACACAUAUUCAUAAUAUUGAAGCCAAAAGAUGCAAAGUUAAUAAUGAUAGUGCAACUUAUUUGUGGCACUACCGUUUAGGUCAUAUUGGUGUAACGCAUGAAGAAACUCCAUGCUGAUUGGAUUUUGGAAUCACUUGAUUAUGAAUCACUUGAUGCUUGCGAACCAUGCCUUAUGGGCAAGAUGGCUAAAACUCCGUUCACCAGAACAUUGGAGCGAGCAACUGACUUAUUGGAAAUAAUACAUACUGAUGUAUGCGAUCCGAUGAGUGUUGAGGCUCGCGGCGGGUAUCGUUAUUUUCUGACCUUCACAGAUGAUUUGAGCAGAUAUGGGUAUAUCUACUUGAUGAAACAUAAGUCUGGAACAUUUGAAAAGUUCAUAUAAUUUCAAAGUGAAGAGGAAAACCAUCGUAACAAGAAAAUAAAAUUUCUACGAUCUGAUCGUGGAGGAGAAUAUUUGAGUUACGAGUUUGGUCUUCAUUUGAAACAAUGCAGAAUAGUUUCGCAACUCACGCCACCUGGAACACCAUAGCGUAAUGGUGUGUCCGAACAUCGUAAUCAUACUUUAUUAAGUAUAGUGCAAUCUAUGAUGUCUCUUACCGAUUUACCACUAUCGUUUUGGGGUUAUGCAAUAGAGACAGCUGCAUUCACGUUAAAUAGGGCACCAUCUAAAUCCGUUGAGACGACACCAUAUGAACCGUGGUUUGGCAAGAUACCAAAGUUGUCGUUUCUUAAAGUUUGGGGUUGCGAUGCUUAUGUGAAAAAGUUUCAUCCUGAUAAGCUCAAACCCAAAUCGGAGAAAUGUGUCUUCGUAGGAUACCCAAAGGAGACAGUUGGGUACACCUUCUAUCACAGAUCCGAAGGCAAGACAUUCGUUGCUAAGAAUGGAUCCUUUCUAGAUAAGGAGUUUCUCUCGAAAGAAGUGAGUGGGAGGAAAGUAGAAGUUGAUGAGGUAACUGUACCUACUCCCUUAUUGGAAAGUAGUUCAUCACAGAAAUCUGUUCCCGUGACUCCUACACCAAUUAGUAAGGAAGCUAAUGAUGAUGAUCAUGUAACUUCAGAUCAAGUUACUACCGAACCUCGUAGGUCAACCAGAGUGAGAUCCACACCAGAGUGGUACGGUAAUCCUGUUCUGGAGGUCAUGUUACUUGACCAUGACGAACCUACGAACUAUGAGGAAGCGAUGACGAGCCCAGAUUCCGCGAAAUGACUUGAGGCCAUGAAAUCUGAGAUGGGAUCCAUGUAUGAAAACAAAGUGUGGACUUUGGUUGACUUGUCCGAUGAUCGGCAAGCCAUAGAAAAUAAAUGGAUCUUCAAGAGGAAGACAGACGCUGAUAGUAGUGUUACUAUCUACAAAGCUAGACUUGUCGAAAAAGGUUUUGACAAAGUUCAAGGUGUUGACUACGAUGCGAUUUUCUCACUCGUAGCGAUGCUUAAGUCUGUCCGAAUCAUGUUAGCAAAUUGCCACAUUUUAUGAAAUCAGGCAAAUGGAUGUCGAAACUACAUUCCUUAAUGGAUAUCUUAAAGAAGAGUUGUAUAUGAUGCAACCAGAAGGUUUUGUCGAUCCUAAAGGUGCUAAUAAAAUGUGCAAGCUCCAGCGAUCCAUCUAUGGACUGGUGCAAGCAUUUCGGAGUUGGAAUAUACGCUUUGAUGAGUUGAUCAAAGCAUAUAGUUUUAUACAGACUUGUGGUGAAGCUUGUAUUUACAAGAAAGUGAGUGGGAGCACUACAACAUUUCUGAUAAAUAUAUGUGAAUGACAUAUUGUUGAUCGGAAAUAAUGUAGAAUUUUUUGGAAAGCAUAAAGGAGUAUUUGAAAGGAGUUUUUCAAAGAAAGACCUCCGUGAAGCUGCUUACAUAUUGAGCAUCAAGAUCUAUAGAGAUAGAUCAAGACGUUUGAUAAGUUUUUUCAAUGAGUACAUACCUUGACAAGAUUUUGAAGUAGUUCAAAAUGGAACAGUCAAAGAAAGAGUUCUUGCCUGUGUUACAAGGUGUGAAAUUGAGUAAGACUCAAAACCCGACCACGGCAAAAGAUAGAAAGAGAAUGAAAGUCAUUCCCUAUGCCUCAGCCAUAGGUUCUAUAAAGUAUGCCAUGCUGUGUACCAGAUCUAUUGUAUACCCUACAUUGAGUUUGGCAAGGGAGUACAAUAGUGAUCUAGGAGUAGAUCACUAAACAGUGGUCAAAAUUAUCCUUAGUGGAAUAAGGAAAUAUUUCUCGGUUAUGGAGGUGAUAAAGAGUUCGCCGUAAAGAGUUACGUCAAUGCAAGCUUUGACACCGAUCUGGAUGACUCUAAGUCACAAUCCGGAUACAUAUUGAAAGUGGGAGCAAUUAGCUAAAGUAGCUUUGCGGAGAGCAUUGUAGACAUAGAAAUUUGCAAAAUACAUACGGAUCUGAAUGUUGCAGACCCGUAGACUAAAAUUUCUCUCACAGGCAAAACAUGAUCAUACCUUAUUACUCUUUGGGUGUUAAUCAUAUUGCAAUGUGAACUAGAUUAUUGACUAGAGUAAACCCUUUGAGUGUUUGGUCACAUGGUGAUGUGAACUAUGGGUGUUAAUCACAUGAUGACAUGGACUAUUGGUGUUAAAUCACAUGGCGAUGUGAAGUAGAUUAUUGACUCUAGUGCAAGUGGGAGACUGAAGGAAAUAUGCCCUAGAGGCAAUAAUAAAGUUAUUAUUUAUUUCCUUAUUUCAUGAUAAAUGUUUAUUUUUCAUGCUAGAAUUGUAUUAACCGGAAACUUAGUACAUGUGUAAAUACAUAGACAAACAGAGUGUCACUAGUAUGCCUCUACUUGACUAGCUCGUUGAAUCAAAGAUGGUUAAGUUUCCCGGCCAUAGACAUGAGUUGUCAUUUGAUUAACGGGAUCACAUCAUUAGAGAAUGAUGUGAUUGACUUGACCCAUUCCGUUAGUUUAGCACUUGAUCAUUUAGUAUGUUGCUAUUGCUUUCUUCAUGACUUAUACAUGUUCCUAUGACUAUGAGAUUAUGCAACUCCUGAAUACCGGAGGAACACCUUGUGUGCUAUCAAACGUCACAACGUAACUGGGUGAUUAUAAAGUUGCUCUACAGGUGUCUCCGAAGGUGUUUGUUGGGUUGGCAUAGAUCGAGAUUAGGAUUUGUCACUCCGAUUGUCGGAGAGGUAUCUCUGGGCCCUCUCGGUAAUGCACAUCACUAUAAGCCUUGCAAGCAAUGUAACUAAUGAGUUAGUUGUGGGAUUAUGCAUUACGGAACGAGUAAAGAGACUUGCCGGUAACGAGAUUGAACUAGGUAUUGAGAUACCGACGAUCGAAUCUCGGGAAAGUAACAUACCGAUGACAAAGGGGACAACGUAUGUUGUUAUGCGAUUUGACCGAUAAAGAUGUUCGUAGAAUAUGUAGGAGCCAAUAUGAGCAUCCAGGUUCCGCUAUUGGUUAUUGACCGGAGACAUGUCUCGGUCAUGUCUACAUAGUUCUCGAACCCGUAGGGUCCGCACGCUUAACGUUUGGUGACGAUCGGUAUUAUGAGUUUAUGUGAUUUGAUGUACCGAAGGUUGUUCGGAGUCCCGGAUGAGAUCGGGGAUAUAACGAGGAGUCUCGAAAUGGUCGAGACGUAAAGAUCGAUAUAUUGGAUGACUAUGUUCAGACACCGGAAGUGUUUCGGGAGGUUUCGGGCAAAUACCGGAGUACCGGGGGUUACCGGAACCCCCCGGGGAGUAUAUUGGGCCUAAUGGGCCUUAGUGGAGAAGAGGAGGGGCCGCCAGGGCAGGCCGGGUGCCCCAUCCCCCUCUAGUCCGAAUUGGACAAGGAGGGGGGGGCGCCCCCUUUCCUUCCCCUCUCUCUCCUCCUUCCCCCUUCUCCUACUCCCACUAGGAAAGGAGGAGUCCUACUCCCGACUCCCCCCUUGGCGCGCCCUCCUCCUUGGCCGGCCGCCUCCCCCUAGCUCCUUUAUAUACGGGGGCAGGGGGCACCCUAGAACACACAAGUUGAUCAUUGAUCUCUCCCAGCCGUGUGCGGUGCCCCCCUCCACCAUAAUCCACCUCGGUUAUAUCGUAGCGGUGCUUAGGCGAAGCCCUGCGAUGGUAGCUUCAUCAACAUCGUCACCACGCCGUCAUGCUGACAAAACUCUCCCUCGAGCUCUACUGGAUCGUGAGUUCGCGGGACGUCACCGAGCUAAAUGUGUGCUGAACGCGGAGGUGCCGUACGUUCUGUACUGAGGAUCGGUCAAUCGUGAAGACGUACGAACACAUCAACCGUGUUGUCAUAACGCUUCCGCUUAACGGUCUACGAGGGUACGUGGACGACACUCUCCCCUCUCGUUGCUAUGCAUCACCAUGAUCUUGCGUGUGCGUAGGAAUUUUUUUGAAAUUACUACGUUCCUCAACAUUUUGCUUUUGGAUUUGCAUGACUCUUUGAUUGUUUGUAUCAUGGCGUCCGGUCCUAUGAUGACUACUUUCAUCUUGAAGAAGGACGUCAUGCGAACGAUUGGAUUUUGUGGUUACCAAAAGGGCACAACCGCACUCCGGAUGCUUGCAUAUGGCACGGCCGCUGAUUCGUGGGACGAGUACCUACGAAUGUCUGAGAGCACAUGCGGAGUUGCCAUGGUUAGGUUUGCAACUGCCAUGGCCGAGGUGUUUGGACCUCAGUACCUAAGAGAACCAACCGUGCCAGACACCGAGAGGCUCUUGGCAAUCUCAGAAGCAAGAGAGAGGCCAGGUUUGCUUGGAAAUGAAAGAACUGCCCGAAGGCUUUACAUGGGCAAUAUCAGGGUCAUGUUAAGAAUCCCACCAUUAUUUUUGAAGCAGUCGCAUCACAUGAUCUUUGGAUUUGGCACGCUUUCUUUGGCAUGUCUUGGUCUCACAAUGACAUCAAUGUGCUGCAGCGAUCGUCAUUGUUUUGAAGGAAAUAUGCCCUAGAGGCAAUAAUAAAGUUAUUAUUUAUUUCCUUAUAUCAUGAUAAAUGUUUAUUAUUCAUGCUAGAAUUGUAUUAACCAGAAACAUGAUACAUGUGUGAAUACAUAGACAAACAGAGUGUCACUAGUAUGCCUCUACUUGACUAGCUCGUUGAUCAAAGAUGGUUAUGUUUCCUAACCAUAGACAUGAGUUGUCAUUUGAUAAAUGGGAUCACAUCAUUAGGAGAAUGAUGUGAUUGACUUGACCCAUUCCGUUAGCUUAGCACUUGAUCGUUUAGUAUGUUGCUAUUGCUUUCUUCAUGACUUAUACAUGUUCCUAUGACUAUGAGAUUAUGCAACUCCCGAAUACCGGAGGAACACUUUGUGUGCUACCAAACGUCACAACGUAACUGGGUGAUUAUAAAGGUGCUCUACAGGUGUCUCCAAAGGUACUUGUUGAGUUGGCAUAUAUCGAGAUUAGGAUUUGUCACUCCGAUUGUCGGAGAGGUAUCUCUGGGCCCACUCGGUAAUGCACAUCACUAUAAGCCUUGCAAGCAUUGUAACUAAUGAGUUAGUUGCGGGAUGAUGUAUUACGGAACGAGUAAAGAGACUUGCCGGUAACGAGAUUGAACUAGGUAUUGAGAUACCGACGAUUGAAUCUCGGGCAAGUAACAUACCGAUGACAAAGGGAACAAUGUGUGGUGUUAUGCGGUUUGACCGAUAAAGAUCUUCGUAGAAUAUGUGGGAGCCAAUAUGAGCAUCCAUGUUCCUCUAUUGGUUAUUGACCGGAGACGUGUCUCGGUCAUGUCUACAUAGUUCUCGAACCCAUAGGGUCUGCACGCUUAAAGCUCGAUGAUGAUCGGUAUUAUGAGUUUUUGUGUUUUGAUGUACCGAAGGUAGUUCGGAGUCCCGGAUAUGAUCAUGGACAUGACGAGGAGUCUUGAAAUGGUCAAGACGUAAAGAUCGAUAUAUUGGACGACUAUAUUCGGACACCGGAAGUGUUCCGGGUGGUUUCGGAGAAAACCGGAGUGCCGGAGGGUUACCGAACCCCCCCGGGAGAAAUAGUGGGCCUUAUGGGCCUUAGUGGAGAAAGAGAGGGCUGGCCUAGGGUAGGCCGCGCACCCCUUCCCCUCUGGUCCGAAUUGGACUAGGAGAGGGGGGGGGGGGCGGUGCCCCCCUUUCCUUCUCCCUGUCCCCCUUCCUUUCCCCCUCCUAGUAGGAGUAGGAAAGAGGGGAGUCCUACUCCUACUAGGAGGAGGACUCCUCCUCCUGGCGCGCCCCAUUGGGACGGCCGGCCUCCCCCCUUGCUCCUUUAUAUAUGGGGGCAGGGGGCACCUCUAGACACACAAGUUGAUCUGUUGAUCUCUCCUAGCCGUGUGCGGUGCCCCCCUCCACCAUAAUCCACCUCAAUCAUAUCGUAGCGGUGCUUAGGCGAAGCCCUGCGUCGGUAGCAUCAUCAUCACCGUCAUCACGCCGUCGUGCUGACGAAACUCUCCUGCGAAGCUUUGCUGGAUCGGAGCUUGCGGGACGUCAUCGAGUUGAACGUGUGCUGAACUCGGAGGUGCCGUGCGUUCGGUACUUGGAUCGGUCGAACCGUGAAGACGUACGACUACAUCAACCGCGUUGUGCUAACGCUUCCGCUUUCGGUCUACGAGGGUACGUGGACACACUCUCCCCUCUCGUUGCUAUGCAUCACCAUGAUCCUGUGUGUGCAUAGGAAUUUUUUUGAAAUUACUACAUUCCCCAACAUGUUUGCCAUACUGGCUGAAGGAAAAACUCCUCCUUGCCACUAUAUUUUCAUUGGACAUGAGUACAACAUGGACCACCAUCUGGUUGACAGUAUCUAUCCUCCGUGGGCUACCUUUGUCAACACCAUCUCUAACUCAGUUGGCCAGAAAAAGUCUCACUUUGCCCAAAGGCAAGAAGAAGCUAGAAAGGAUUUCGAGAGGGCAUUUGAAGUUAUGCAGGCCCGUUUUGCAGUUGUUUGUGGACCUACUAAACAAUGGGAUCCGGAGACCUUGUGGGAGGUGAUGACAUAUUGUGUAAUCAUGCACAACAUGAUCGUCGAGGAUGAGGGUGAGGAGCUGCCGCAACUCUAGAAUUUGAGAACAUGGGUGAUCCUAUCGAACUUCCAGAGCAGAAUCCGACCACGUUUGAAGAGUUUAUUCCAAUGCAUCAACAAAUUCGGCAUUGAGCAACUCACAAGCAGCCGAAGGAAGAUCCGAUUAAGCAUCUGUGGAUGGUUAAAGGGGAUAACAAUGUUGGGAUGUAAUAUUUCAACUACUACUGCAU
rnacentral:lncRNA from 1 species